AGCGGCAUGGCGCAGGUGGAACCGCGUGGGGGCUCAUAACUCCCGAGGUCACUCGAUCGAAACGAGUUGCUGCUG